rnacentral:rRNA from 1 species
UACGUAGGGUGCAAGCGUUGUCCGGAAUUAUUGGGCGUAAAGAGCUCGUAGGCGGUUUGUCGCGUCUGCUGUGAAAACUCGGGGCUCAACUCCGAGCUUGCAGUGGGUACGGGCAGACUAGAGUUCGGUAGGGGAGACUGGAAUUCCUGGUGUAGCGGUGAAAUGCGCAGAUAUCAGGAGGAACACCGGUGGCGAAGGCGGGUCUCUGGGCCGUAACUGACGCUGAGGAGCGAAAGCAUGGGGAGCGAACAGG